rnacentral:lncRNA from 1 species
CAGUCUCUUUUCGCAGAGACGUGGCUCUGCCUCUUUCUCAGAGACAUGGCUCUGUCUCUCUUGUGGAGAUGUGGCUCUUGCUCUGGCUGGUGUGGCUCAUGGCAGUGUGCUGGGUGUCCUGGGAGAAGCUCUGUAGCAUGGUUUAGGCUUUUUGCUCGAAGACCUGAAAUGAAGGAGAAUGCAACACCUCUGGAAACUGUCUGUUCCAUAUGGAAUAGGGAACAACAAACACACAUCCUCAUUAGAAAAAGGGAGUCUAUAUGAAUCAAGCUAAUGUGAGAGAAGGGAGGGGGACAGAAAUGAAGGUAGAUGGUUUUGGGGGGUUUACUCUAAAAGGGUAACAAGCUGAAUCCACAAAUAGGACAGUCAAUGUACUGAAUGAAACAAAUUCUGAUAUCACACAUCCAUACACUAGAGACUAAUUUCAGGAAGAUCAAGUUAAAUCGUUUUAGAUAAAAAAGCACUUAUUUUAUUUCAUAUGUAACAGUAUUUGAAGUGAAGAUAUAAAGAAAAGAAAAAAGUAGUCUCUACUCUCAACUGUGAGAUAUGUAUUUCUCUUCAAUUAAAAUCAUGAAGAAUAUUUGCAGGGACAGCUAGAUGGCUCAGUGAAUAGAAAGCAUGCAUAGAGUUGGGAAAUCCUGGGUUCAAAUUGGCCUCAGACACUUUCUAGCUGUGUGAUCCUAGAAAAGUCGCUUAACCUCAAUUGCCUAGCUUUUACUUCUCAUGCCCCAGAACCAAUGCUUAGUAUUGAUUCUAGGAGAGAAUGUAAGGGUUUAAAAAAACAGUAUUUUCGUAGCUGCUGUUAUAGAAUUCUUCUGCUUGUCAAAUAGUCUCACAGCUAUUUAACAUAUUCUAUAAUAAUUUUGAAUGGAAUUUCUUCUUGUAUCCUUUUCUUUAUAGUUCUGCUGGUGAUAUACAGGAAUGCUGAUGAUUUUUGUGGUCUUAUUUGAUUAAACUACUAUUUUACUGAAGUUAUUAAAAAUUAAUAAAUUAUUAUUAAAUUAAUACA